GCCCCAGUGGUCUAGUAGUAUGAUACCUCCUUCGGGAAUCCCGGAGCAUUCUGAUGCUUCUGUAUGGAGGUGGUCCUGGGUUCAAUUCCCAGCUGAGGCC